AGCAGUGUAGUAUAGUGGUAAGGGGCUUGGCUCAUAAGCAAAAGGUUACUGGUUCAAUUCCCCUUUGGGGCACUGCUG